GAACCAGGGGUGGCAGCAUGGCAAAACAAUAUUGGAACAAUACAGAUCAGGAAAAUUAUCAGUAGCAGCCUGUUGCCCGAUCCCUCCGUCCGCUGUUCCAGCAUCAGGGAGAAGUGCUCAAUGCACUUGAUGGACAGCUUCUCUUCAAUUAUAGAAAGAGUGCCACUCCAACCCCCUCCACAAAGAGCCACACACACCUUGAUGGAUGUGCUGCAGUCGAACCGGAAGGACUUGGUCUGCCCGUUCUCCAGGUACACCUUCAGAACGUUCUGCAUGAAGAGGAGAGAGUUGUCCUUCACUGUGUUCUGGGUGGAAAGGAGACACAGAAGAAUGACAUACAAGACAUACAGUAGCCUACAUGAAGAGAACAGAGUUGUCCUUCACUGCAUUCUAGGUGGAAGCAGGACUUACAAGGAAUGACCUUAUAUUGCUUGCUAGCAUUGUUGAACUGUCUGGAUGUAGUCAGAUAAACAAGUGUAUAUCAUCACAGAAAGUAUUCAGACCCCUUGACUUUUUCCACAUUUUGUUACAUCCUUAUUCUAAAAUGUAUUAAAUUGUCCCCCCCUCAUCCAGCUA